AUAGCCAGCGCCGCUCCGCCGUGUUCGCAGCGGAUCGCCCCGUCCCGGCUCUCGGCUGAAGCGCUCGCGCUGCCGCCUGCUCGGAGCGGAGCUUCUUUAUUAUUCUAAGAGCAGAAAAUAAUCGCGAACGGUGUUUAAAAAACAGCCGUUCCCCUCCGCGAUGACGAAUGGGUUAUCCGUCCCACCAGUGCUGCUCAUUUCCAACUAGUUUUGCCACCGAGAAUGAAAGAUUGAAUUGCCUAAUGUAUGCGAGUGAACUUUGGGUGAACCCUUCCGAGGCUGCUGACCUUCAAAUGACCCAGGCAGGCUGACAUCACUGCAGCUCUGCAGCGCAGAGGAAGGCGGCGAGAAGAAGCGCAUGGGGGAAGGAGAAAGAUUUAUUCUUUAUUUUUCUUUUGGAAAACAGAACGACUUCCAAAAUAUGAAACCAUGUUUUUGGAAUUCAUACCAAACCACCACAACGAUUCUGUGCGGGGUUUUCCUUUCUUUAUUUUUUUCCUGUUUGUCUCCUUUACGCAGAAAAGAGUUCCUAAUUUCUCCGUACAUUUAAUGCUUAAAAAAAAAAAUAAAAGAAGACAUUUAAUAUACAGGAAAUUGUAAAUAAGUAAUCGCAAAAUUAUAUGUUGUUGAAAAAUAAUUUGAUGUCAAAUUUAAACAAAUUUUCUGAUAAAGUAAAUUUACAGGAAACAGCUUAUUCACUUACAUUUGGUCAUUUGAUAAAUAAACAAAUUAGUCAAUUAAUCAGUUAACUAUUAUUGGUGACAGUUAUAUUAGUUAUCAUUUGUUUUUUGUACAGUGAAGAAAUAUGCAAGCGCAUCAGUCAAUUAACCAAAGGUUGUAACUGGCUCGUUUUUUGUUGAUCUGGCUGGUAAUUAGAAAGUCAAUUUUAUUAAAUUUUUUUUCUUGAGUCCCUGAAUGCUGUAAAACUGAGAACUCUCAUCAUGUCUGUCUGUCUGGAAGCUGAUCAACCAACAACAUGCACUGUAAUGCAUCAUGUUCUGAUUUUACACAAGUAUUUGCACCCUGUGAACUUUGACCUAUGUUGCGUUACAACUGAAGAUUUCAAUGUAUUUUAUAGAUUUUAUGGUAAACCAAGACAAAAUUAGAAUAGAUCUGCGAAGUGGAACAAAAAUGAGAUGUUGUUUUUUAAAACUGUUUUUCAAAGCAAAAAUCUGAAAAGUGUGGUGAGCAUGCGUGCUCUUCUGGCCCAAGUGGCUGUGUGUGAGGACAGAGACAGUGAGCACAAGCCACUGUUUGUACGCGUGACAUGUUUAUGCACAGGGUUUUCUUCUCCUAUUGAAAUGUAUUUGGAUCAUGUGUUCGUAUGUCUUGGCUGGACUGUUGGGACCAGUUUUUAUCUUAUGAAGCAUUUGGGAUUUGUCCCACUGAAUUUGGUUUUUCAGGAAUCUGGCCAGUCAGUGAACAGAAGAAGGGGUCGUGAACGAUGGCGUUGAUUUUCUGCUCUGUUUUAUAAUUUUAGUCCACCUGUUUCAGUAAUGGCAGCGGAGGACGCAAAGGGAGCCAUUCAGUCUGUUGGUCGCUCUUCCAAAUAUUGGGAGAUUAAAGUCAAAACAAAAGAAAUGUCUAAGUUAUUUUAUGAUAACAAAGUAGUUUGUUGUUGUUCGAUGCGCAUAGAGUGUUUUUAUAAUAUUUAAAACAUUUUCCAGCCAACAAAGAACCUGGUCUUAACGUUCAACUGAAGCAUGUUGCUUCAUUCCUGCCAAUGGACGAUUGAGAGCAAUUCAGAAACAUUAUAUCAAAGAAAGAGACAAAAGAGGAGGAAACAAACCCUGAAGCCUCUAAAAUAUAACAAUUUAAUCACAUCAAAAACAGAAUAAGAAAGAACUUUUUUUCACAUUGAUCAUUGUGUAAUAUUAAUGAGUGUUUGGGAAUCUGAAAGGAGUUUGCAGUGUGCUGCUGCCUUCAGAGACUGUAAUGCAUUAUGCAGUAUAUGGUAUAUGCAGUGCAGAUAUGUUUGGAGCUGCUGGUGAGAAGAAUAAUAAUGCAGAGAGGAGGAGACAGUAUUCCUCUGAAUAGUUCCAGUUUUAACCUAAACUUACUCAUCAAGUAUCUAAUAAAACAAGGGGGGAUGUUAACUAGACUGUGUUCAUCUACACAGUGUUGGGAUAAGAUUCAUAAAGGCUUUUAAAUAAUCCCCUAACUUAAUGUGUAAACACAAAUAUGGUCAGUUUUAUGUUGUUUCUCCUCCAUACAGGAAGUAAAAAUAAAGGCUGAAAAAUCUGGAGACCUUCUAAACUUUGGCAACAAGAAGGACCUUCCUUGUUUAAUGCCAACAUGUUGGUGUUUGGGAUUCAAUGUGGGACUCAGAAGACAGGAGAUAAAACAUCAUGCCUUCCUGUUUCCUGUAGGGGAGGAUUUUGAUGAAGGAGAUCAAUCAGGCAUUGAAACAUUAGAUGAUUUCCUCCACUGACCAACGAUGGAGGUAUGAACCAUGUGGACCCGUCUGGUCAUCAGAGAUCUCCUUACCCAGAAUUCCCAGAGCCAGAAUCAAACCAGACGAGGCAGCAUUUAAGUUUCUAUGCUCCUCUGCUUUGGAACAAACUGUCUGUAAAUCUGAAAUGUGCAGAAACUCUUGGUUCCAUUAAAUCAGGACUGAAAAGAGUUUUGUUUACAGCAGCUAAUGAAGUGUCUGCAUAAGGCUUUAUUUUCUGUUUUCCUUUCCUUUGACUUCCAGAAAAGCACAUUGGUCUGCUCUGUGUAUGAAUGUUGUUGUAAAAAAAAUGAUUUAUUUAUAUUUGCUUUUUAUUACAGAGCUGACAAUCAGGUGACACAAAACACAUUGAGCUCAUCUGUUUCUGUAGUACAGCUAUACAACCAAAAUGUGUUAUUUCAACAUAAUUCAAUCUGUUUUGUGGAGCGCACCAAUCCAUCCUGCAGCAAAACAUCCCCACAGCAUGAUGCUGCCACCAUUGUACUUCAUAAUUGGGAUGGUAUCUCAUGGUAGCAAACUUUUUCCUUUUCCAGUGAAGGUCAUUAGGGCCCCACACUUUAGCUGUGGUUUCUGUUUGUGCUGCUGAGGACGUUUUUACCCCGUGGAACAGAUGUUUUUAUUCUUUCUCAUUCAGUGAGCUGUAAGUCGGAAGCUUUAAAAGCCACAUCAUCAUCACCUGGGCUAAGAAACUCCCAGAGUUCUCCAGCGUUGCCAAGGGAGGGCGGAGUCUGGCGCUGCCAGCCAAUCACACACAGAGUUGCUCAGACAGCCACUGGCCCAGGCAGUCUUUAUUCGUCAGUGUUUUUGUCUGAACUCUGAACCUUGUAUUUCUGGACUCUCCAACUACAUUGCAGUUGUAUUUAUCACAGUGCUGGAGGAAAAUCGGUUCCUGGUUGAUGUUUGAUUUGUGUCUAAUAUUUGGUUGUUAACUUACAUAUUAAUAUUCUCAACAUGUUUCCUGUUACCAUCAUAUCGGUGGGGUUCUUCAUUUUUGGCCCAUUUUGUGUGAUGAAUUGAAGCAGCCAAACAUAUGCAUACUUUGAUAUAGGUUGCUGAUCUUAUUAAAUAAAUACAUAUUAUUGGAUAUGCUUUAAUCCAAUGGCUAUCUGAAUUCAUAAGCUGGAGCUUGAAUAUAUGCAUAAAAUUUAAUAAUUUCUGGAAAGUAAAUUUUUUUGUUUUGUCUUAACAGUCCUGGUGCUUUUAUUCUGUGCUUUAGUAUUUACUGUGUAUUUCUAAUUUGCUCCCCGUUUCUCUGUGUGUUCUGUCAGCCAUUUCUCCCAUUUCCUCAGUUCAGCUUCAGUUCCAGGCCUCCCCUCACAGCUGCAGCCUGCAGCCAGCUCUUGGUCAGCUCCCUUUGUUAUCCCCACCAGCCUGUUUCCUUUUUUCUCCUCCUGUGAUUUCGUACUUUGAAUUUCCACUGGAUUUUAGUUUUUGAUUUUUCUUUUUUGAGUGAACUCGUAUUGAUCACCUCCCUGCUUCCUGCAACUGGCUCCUGCUCUUCAACUCUUAAGGACAAAAAAUGACAAUGAAGAUAAUUAGGGAUGAAAUUCUAUAAACAUUUGGGCUGAUAUCAAUAUCUGAUAUUAAUGCUGCUGUAACUGAUAACCAAUGUUUAUCAAAUUUGAAUGUAUGUAUUUAGAUAGGAUGCAAAAGUUGCCACAUCACCUAUUGCUGCUCUGCUUCAGUUCCUGAGCCCAAACGGCAAGAAAAGGGAAAUAAACAUCGGUUGUUAAUAUCAGCACAUUUUCCUCAUUGGACCGAUAUGUCAGAAAUAACUAACAUUGGCCGACACCAAUGAUGAUGCUGAUGACACAGGUCAUCACUGACUCUCCUCAAGCUCAUGUAUUUGAAAUGGCAGGGUGUGAAUUCAGUGAUUUGGACCAUAAAAAUGUUGAAAUCAUAGAACUUUACAGAACACUUAACAAAUGUAUUUUCUCUAGUCAUUGUUGGUGUUUUAAUGGCCAUGAUGGCAGGUGAGGCAGAGCUAUUGACUGUAUUGAAAUCUCAUGGGGAAAGAUUUUGUUUGUAAUAGCGUCACAAAAUGUUGUGAUUUUAUUUGUCUAAAAACAUCGCAUAGUCCGGUUUUCAGGGCAGAACUGAUUUAUUGUAGUGACAAAAGUAGCAAUGAGUAAAUAUAUGUAUAUAAAGA